rnacentral:rRNA from 1 species
GAUGAACGCUGGCGGCGUGCCUAAUACAUGCAAGUCGAGCGAACAGACGAGGAGCUUGCUCCUUUGACGUUAGCGGCGGACGGGGGAGUAACACGUGGAUAACCUACCUAUAAGACUGGGAUAACUUCGGGAAACCGGAGCUAAUACCGGAUAACAUGUUGAACCGCAUGGUUCAACAGUGAAAGACGGUCUUGCUGUCACUUAUAGAUGGAUCCGCGCCGCAUUAGCUAGUUGGUAAGGUAAAGGCUUACCAAGGCAACGAUGCGUAGCCGACCUGAGAGGGUGAUCGGCCACACUGGAACUGAGACACGGUCCAGACUCCUACGGGAGGCAGCAGUGGGGAAUCUUCCGCAAUGGGCGAAAGCCUGACGGAGCAACGCCGCGUGAGUGAAGAAGGUCUUCGGAUCGUAAAACUCUGUUAUUAGGGAAGAACAAAUGUGUAAGUAACUAUGCACGUCUUGACGGUACCUAAACAGAAAGCCACGGCUAACUACGUG